CGACGAAUCAUUCAAGCUUCUGCCCUAUCAGCUUUGGAUGGUAGGGUAUUGGCCUACCAUGGCUUUGACGGGUAACGGAGAAUUGGGGUUCGAUUCCGGAGAGGGAGCCUGAGAGAUGGCUACCACAUCCAAGGAAGGCAGCAGGCGCGUAAAUUACCCAACCCUGACACAGGGAGGUAGUGACAAUAAAUAACAAUGCCGGACUUUCAGUCUGGCAAUUGGAAUGAGAACAAUUUAAAUCCCUUAUCGAGGAUCAAUUGGAGGGCAAGUCUGGUGCCAGCAGCCGCGGUAAUUCCAGCUCCAAUAGCGUAUACUAAAGUUGUUGCAGUUAAAAAGCUCGUAGUUGGAUUUCUGGUGGGGACAGCUGGUCGGGCUGGGAACAGCCUGCACUUGUGCUGGUCUUCAUCAUCCUUGGGGAGAGCAGGCGUGGCAUUAAGUUGUCGGGUCUGGGAUCCUCAUCGUUUACUGUGAAAAAAUUAGAGUGUUCAAAGCAGGCUUAGGCCCUGAAUACAUUAGCAUGG
rnacentral:rRNA from 1 species